GACGAACGCUGGCGGCGUGCUUAACACAUGCAAGUCGAGCGGUAAGGCCCUUUCGGGGGUACAUGAGCGGCGAACGGGUGAGUAACACGUGGGUGACCUGCCCUUAGCUCUGGGAUAAGCCUGGGAAACUGGGUCUAAUACCGGAUAUGACUCCAUGACGCAUGUUGUGGGGUGGAAAGCCUUGUGCGGCUAGGGAUGGGCCCGCGGCCUAUCAGCUUGUUGGUGGGGUGAUGGCCACCAAGGCGACGACGGGUAGCCGGCCUGAGAGGGCGACCGGCCACACUGGGACUGAGACACGGCCCAGACUCCUACGGGAGGCAGCAGUGGGGAAUCUUGCGCAAUGGGCGAAAGCCUGACGCAGCGACGCCGCGUGAGGGAUGACGGCCU
rnacentral:rRNA from 1 species